rnacentral:tRNA from 1 species
UUGGAUGUGGCUCAAUUGGUAGAGAGCUUGCCUGGUGUGCAUGAAGCCCUGAGUUCAAUUCUCAGCCCUCAUA